UGUGGGGCUCGAACCCAUGAACAGCGAGAUCAUGACCUGAACGGAAGUUGGACGCUUAACCAACUGAACCCCCCCAGGUACCCCCAAAAUAAAAUUGAAUUUUGUGUAUUGAUCUUGGAUCCUAUGACCCUGUGGAAUUUGUUUAUUAGUCCUCAUUUUGUUUUUGUUUUUGCUUUUGUGUUGUUUGUGGAUUUUUUUGGUACGGGUUCCUUGGGGUGCUCAACAUAUGGGACCACGUUUCUGCAAAUAAAGGCAGGUUUACUUCUUCCUUUCCAAUCUCUAUGCCCUUUAGUUCUGUUUCUUGCCUGAUUGUACUGGCUGGAACUUCCUAGUACAACGUUGGCCAGAAGUGGCAUUCCUGAUCUUAGGGCAGAGCAUCAAGUCUUUGGCCAUUAAGUAGGAUGUUAGCUGUAGAACUUUCUGUAGUGCUCUUUGCUGGCAUGGAACAGUUUCAUUCUGUCUGAGUCUUUAGAGUUUUUUUGAGUGAGUGUUGGAUUUUGUCAAACGUUUACUUCACUUAUUGAGAGGCUCAUGCGGUUUAUGUCCUUUAUUUUAUUUAUUUUCAGAUGUUAAACCAACCUUGAAUUCCAGGGACAAAUCCCAUUUGGUCGUGCAGCUGUAGGUUCACAGCAAAAUUGAAAGAAUGUGGAGGUUUCCUGUGGAACUCCUGUCCUCCCAGCUGUGAACAUCCCCACCAGAGUAGUGCAUUUGUUACAAUCGGUGAACCUACAUUGACAAGCCAUUAUCGCUCAGACUCCCUAGUUUACAUUAGCGUUCACUCCUGAUGUUGUAAUUCUGUGGAUUUGGACAAAUUUAUAAUGAUACAUAGCCACCAUUAUCAUAAAGAGUGUUUUCACUGUCCUUAAAAUCUUCUGUACCCCCCAGACUUAUCCUCUUUCCCUCCUAACUUCUGGAAACCGCUGGUCUUGUUGUUGUUCCUGUGUUUUGCCUUCUCUGGGAUGUCAUAUCAUCGGAAGCAUGUAGUCAGCAUGUCACCUUUUCAGAUUGACUCACUUCACCUACCAACAUGCAUUUAAAGUUCCUUCGUGUGUAUUUGUGGCUUAAGAGCCCAUUUCCUUUUAGUGCUGAAUAACAUUCCAUUCUUUGGACGUACCACGGUUUAUCCGUUUACCUACUGGAGGACACCUUGGUGGCUUUCAAGUUGUGGCAAUUAUGAAUAAACUAUGGAUCAGGCUGCUAUAAA